rnacentral:tRNA from 1 species
CAGAGAAUAGUUUAUUUAAAAUGUUAAUUUUGGGGAUUAGAGAUAGAAGAAGAUUUUUUCUCUGA